UGUGUGCAAGUGGUAGGAGAGCGUUCUAUUUGCGUCGAAGGUAUACCGGUAAGGAGUGCUGGAGCGAAUAGAAGUGAGCAUGCAGGCAUGAGUAGCGAUAAUUAAUGUGAGAAUCAUUAACGCCGUAAACCCAAGGUUUCCUACGCGAUGCUCGUCAUCGUAGGGUUAGUCGGGUCCUAAGUCGAGUCCGAAAGGGGUAGACGAUGGCAAAUUGGUUAAUAUUCCAAUACCAACAUUAGUGUGCGAUGGAAGGACGCUUAGGGCUAAGGGGGCUAGCGGAUGGAAGUGCUAGUCUAAGGUCGUAGGAGGUUAUACAGGCAAAUCCGUAUAACAAUACUCCGAGAACUGAAAGGCUUUUUGAAGUCUUCGGAUGGAUAGAAGAACCCCUGAUGCCGUCGAGCCAAGAAAAGUUUCUAAGUUUAGCUAAUGUUGCCCGUACCGUAAACCGACACAGGUGGGUGGGAUGAGUAUUCUAAGGCGCGUGGAAGAACUCUCUUUAAGGAACUCUGCAAAAUAGCACCGUA
rnacentral:rRNA from 2 species